rnacentral:rRNA from 1 species
ACUAAGCAUAUCAAUAAGCGGAGGAAAAGAAACCAACAGGGAUUGCCUCAGUAACGGCGAGUGAAGCGGCAAAAGCUCAGAUUUGAAAUCUGGCGUCUUCGGCGUCCGAGUUGUAAUCUGUAGAGGAUGCCUUUGGGUGGCCACCGGUCUAAGUCCCCUGGAACGGGGUGUCACAGAGGGUGAGAAUCCCGUAUGUGACCGGGAAGGCGCCCUAUACAUGGCUCCUUCGACGAGUCGAGUUGUUUGGGAAUGCAGCUCUAAAUGGGAGGUAAAUUCCUUCUAAAGCUAAAUACCGGCCAGAGACCGAUAGCGCACAAGUAGAGUGAUCGAAAGAUGAAAAGCACUUUGGAAAGAGAGUUAAAAAGCACGUGAAAUUGUUGAAAGGGAAGCGCUUGCAACCAGACUUGUUGGCGGUGUUCCGCCGGUCUUCUGACCGGUCUACUCACCGUCUGCAGGCCAGCAUCAUCUGGGGCCGCUGGAUAAAAGCGGAGGGAAUGUGGCUCCUCCGGGAGUGUUAUAGCCCUCUGUGUAAUACAGCGAGUCCCGGGUGAGGUCCGCGCUUCGGCUAGGAUGCUGGCGUAAUGGUCGUAAGCGGCCCGUCUUGAAACACGGACCAAGGAGUCUAACAUCUAUGCGAGUGUUCGGGUGUCAAACCCCUACGCGUAAUGAAAGUGAACGGAGGUGGGAACCUUUUAGGUGCACCAUCGACCGAUCCUGAUGUCUUCGGAUGGAUUUGAGUAAGAGCAUAGCUGUUGGGACCCGAAAGAUGGUGAACUAUGCCUGGAUAGGGUGAAGCCAGAGGAAACUCUGGUGGAGGCUCGCAGCGGUUCUGACGUGCAAAUCGAUCGUCAAAUUUGGGUAUAGGGGCGAAAGACUAAUCGAGCCAGACGCCUUUUC